rfam:Camelus ferus unplaced genomic scaffold scaffold801, whole genome shotgun sequence.
GAGGGUGUAGCUUAGUGGUAGAGUGCCUGCUUAGUGUGCACAAGGUCCUGGAUUCAAUCCCCAGUACCUCUA